UCUUUAUGCUAUUUUGAUUCAUCGUAUCUAAUAUUUCUGGUCAGUUUUCGUCGUACCCAUGUUAUUCAAGAAGGACCUUUUACCGCCUUAGCGGUAGGGCAGGCUCCCCCUGGUGCUGCAGAAGAAAGAUUGCAACUUUUGCAAGGGCCUUUAGGGGAAGACCCGACUAUCAUAUAUGUUCCUACACAAAAAGAAACAUUGAGGAUCGCAAAGUAUCUUUGCAAUUCUGGUGUGAAGGCUGCAGCUUAUAACGCAUCGGUUAAUGUUCAAAUAGGAUUCCCAGAGCCAGCAAAAGUGGGAUUGGAUUUUCUGGAAUAUGAAAGACAUGCUACCCUCAAUGAAUCAGUCCAAAUCUUAUUCUACUUUUGCAGACUGGGGAAAAGGUUGGGCUGAUCCUGAGAUCCGUCGUCAGCGACUAGGGCAAACACGAAAUGAUCGCAAGCCGCGGAAGCCGAGAUAGUCCAGAAAAAUUAAACCAGAUAUGAAAACUGCCAGAGGAAGAAUAACAUCAAACCUCUCCAAACAAAAGUGAUACAGAGUUGCACUGAUUUUGAGUCUUGUGAAAUAAUGUUUUGUAGUCAAACUUUUUGCAUUAUUCAGGUCCAACAAAGACAGCGUCCAUGACCACAAUUUUUGUAGAGUUCAGUAAAUGUAGGUACAUGAAUGUAUAGUUGAUGACUUCAUUUAGUUGAUGAAAAAAACACCAUCUAAGUGUUAAUCUGAUUUAAUGAUUAUUAAAUAGUUCUAAGAAAUUGAAUACCUAUCAAUUUUUUAUUAUUUGA